AUAUUAAAAAUGAUAAAAUGGAAAGUGAAAUGUGGGUGCUCCUAGAAAUGGGAAACUUGAGUGACAGUCUACCCCACCCCCUCCCUAACCACCUCCCAACAUCUUACUUCUUUCAAUAGGGACCUGCAAGGAACGGGGAGCAAAGGAAGAGAAGACACAUUGUCUCGCAGAAAUCUGAAGGAAUAGAGUAAAAUCCUCAUUCGGAUCCGGUGCCUGGCCAGUCAAGACAUUGAGUAACCAACCACUGGGAGCUUAUGGAGGAAACGGGAAAAUUACAUACAUACAAACAAAAAUAGACACACCCACAAAUAAGCUUGUGUCAAAACACGUGUUGGAAACUAGCAGUCAAAACGACUGGCUUCCAGUCUCACUUACUUCUGCCAAGCUCUUCCGUGCAAGGACUUCUCUUAGAAAGGGAAAAAGGGUGGAAAACGCAGGAAGGGUGACUUGCCCAUGGCUGUUUGUCACUGUGGAGUUAUUUUUCAAUGCUAUCGAAGAGCUAUGAGGGAUGCAGAUCUGCCAGGCAAGCAUUCCUGCUAACAACUAAAAAUAAUGAUGUAAGAAGAACAUUCCCAAAUGAACUUUAAGAAGAGGAAUAACAGCACUGGUCUGAAGACGAUGUAGAGGAAAAUCUCACCAAUUAGGCGCAAUGAAUGCAACGGACCAGUAGUCGAAUAUUUAAAAUAUCAUGCUCAAGGAAAAACCUGGUGAAAAGGUGGUUCUAGCAACUCCGCCUGGGGGUAAGCAGUCGUGGUGUGGAGGAACCCCAGAAGACAGAUUCUUCCAUUCAGAAUUUCCUCAGGUGGGAAGAUUUGGAAAGCUCAUGACAGGAACUCUAUGGCAACUUUGGUUCUGGGGACAUGUAGGAUAAUAGGUCAAUCUCUUCCCAAACUCGAUGUCUUCUCCUUGGGGUUUCCAUGCUAAGGCAGCCAAAAUAGAAAAAAGAGGUAAAAAAUAAAAGGACCUGGAGCA